GAUGAACGCUAGCGGCAGGCCUAAUACAUGCAAGUCGGACGGGAUCCAUUGAUAGCUUGCUAUCAAUGGUGAGAGUGGCGCACGGGUGCGUAACGCGUGAGCAACCUGCCUCCAUCAGGGGGAUAGCCUCUCGAAAGAGAUAUUAACACCGCAUAAUAUCAACAGUUCGCAUGUUCAGUUGAUUAAAUAUUUAUAGGAUGGAGAUGGGCUCGCGUGACAUUAGCUAGUUGGUAGGGUAACGGCUUACCAAGGCGACGAUGUCUAGGGGCUCUGAGAGGAGAAUCCCCCACACUGGUACUGAGACACGGACCAGACUCCUACGGGAGGCAGCAGUAAGGAAUAUUGGUCAAUGGGCGGAAGCCUGAACCAGCCAUGCCGCGUGCAGGAUGACUGCCCUAUGGGUUGUAAACUGCUUUUGUCCAGGAAUAAACCUAAAUACGAGUAUUUAGCUGAAUGUACUGGAAGAAUAAGGAUCGGCUAACUCCGUG
rnacentral:rRNA from 1 species